GUCUAUGGCCAUGCCACCCUGAACACGCCCGAUCCUGUCUGAUCUCGGAAGCUAAGCACGGUCUGGCCUGGUUAGUACUUGGAUGGGAGACCACCUAGGAAGACCAAGUGCUGUAAGCA
rnacentral:rRNA from 1 species